GUAUAAUGGGUCAGCGACUUAUAUUCUGUAGCAAGGUUAACCGAAUAGGGGAGCCGGAGGGAAACCGAGUCUUAACCGGGCGUUAAGUUGCAGGGUAUAGACCCGAAACCCGGUGAUCUAGCCAUGGGCAGGUUGAAGGUUGGGUAACACUAACUGGAGGACCGAACCGACUAAUGUUGAAAAAUUAGCGGAUGACCUGUGGCUGGGGGUGAAAGGCCAAUCAAACCGGGAGAUAGCUGGUUCUCCCCGAAAGCUAUUUAGGUAGCGCCUCGUGAAUUCAUCUCCGGGGGUAGAGCACUGUUUCGGCUAGGGGGCCAUCCCGGCUUACCAACCCGAUGCAAACUGCGAAUACCGGAGAAUGUUAUCACGGGAGACACACGGCGGGUGCUAACGUCCGUCGUGAAGAGGGAAACAACCCAGACCGC
rnacentral:rRNA from 1 species